GUGUUAGGUGAGCUCUAAGGAGAUAUGUGAAUUCAAAUAUUAGCACCCAUGAAAAAUAUGUGUCAUAGCUGCUCCGGUGGAGGUGAGGAGAGUCACAGGAGACAAAGGAGGAUGGGGAAAUAAACAAAUGCAGAAAAUUAUCAAAAUAAUUUGGAAGACAAUUUAAGUAGCAACAGGAAUUUAUAAUAUAAGCUACACAAUAGAAUAGAAAAGCAGGUAGGAUGUUUUGAGCCACCCCAGAGAGGAGCUUGAUGCUGGUGGUGCUGUCAAAGAUGACUGCAAUGAUGAUUUUGGUCAAAGAUCCAAAAAGUCCCUUGAGAAUCUCACAGGAUUGUGUGUCUGUGGUUGCAGGGGGUUCGCAAGGGAGCCCUAUAUGAUGAGAACUGGCCACUCUAAAGGUUUUAACUUCCAAGUGCAGCCCAUACACACCAACAGCAUAGAGCAACAGCCAAGACAGUCUGUGAUGAGCAGAUUGAAGCAACACUGUCUGGAGUUCAUACUGUUAACGAAAUUCCCUUAAUG